GGCGGCAUAGCCAAGUGGUAAGGCAGCGGACUGCAAAUCCGUUAUUCUCCGGUUCAAAUCCGGAUGCCGCCU
rnacentral:tRNA from 1 species